GAAACUGCGAAUGGCUCAUUAAAUCAGUUAUGGUUUAUUUGAUGGUACCUUACUACUUGGAUAACCGUAGUAAUUCUAGAGCUAAUACAUGCAGGAAGUCCCGACUUCGGAAGGGAUGUAUUUAUUAGAUAAGAAACCAACCCGGCUUGCCGGUUGCGUGCUGAGUCACAAUAACUGCUCGAAUCGCAUGGCCUUGCGCCGGCGAUGGUUCAUUCAAAUUUCUGCCCUAUCAGCUUUCGAUGGUAGGAUCGAGGCCUACCAUGGCGUUUACGGGUAACGGAGAAUUAGGGUUCGAUUCCGGAGAGGGAGCCUGAGAAAUGGCUACCACAUCCAAGGAAGGCAGCAGGCGCGUAAAUUGCCCGAAUCCUGACACAGGGAGGUAGUGACAAGAAAUAACAAUACAGGGCUAUCUUAGUCUUGUAAUUGGAAUGAGUACAAUUUACAUCUCUUCACGAGGAUCAAUUGGAGGGCAAGUCUGGUGCCAGCAGCCGCGGUAAUUCCAGCUCCAAUAGCGUAUAUUAAAGUUGUUGCAGUUAAAACGCUCGUAGUCGGAUUUCGGGGCGGGGCCGCCGGUCUGCCGAUGGGUAUGCACUGGCGGCGCGUCCUUCCUUCCGGAGACUGGCCCUACUCUUAACUGAGCGGGGUCGGGAGUCGGAUCAUUUACUUUGAAAAAAUCAGAGUGUUUCAAGCAGGCAGCUCGCUCUUGCAUGGAUUAGCAUGGGAUAAUGAAAUAGGACUUUGGUGCUAUUUUGUUGGUUUCGAACACCGAAGUAAUGAUUAACAGGGACAGUCAGGGGCACUCGUAUUCCGCCGAGAGAGGUGAAAUUCUCAGACCAGCGGAAGACGAACCACUGCGAAAGCAUUUGCCAGGGAUGUUUUCACUGAUCAAGAACGAAAGUUAGGGGAUCGAAGACGAUCAGAUACCGUCGUA
rnacentral:rRNA from 1 species